GAUGAAGAACGCAGCAAAAUGCGAUAAGUAAUGUGAAUUGCAGAAUUCAGUGAAUCAUCGAAUCUUUGAACGCACCUUGCGCCCUUUGGCCAUUCCGAAGGGCAUGCCUGUUUGAGUAUCAUGAACACCUCAACUCUCAUGGCUCGCCAUGAUGAGCUUGGAUUUGGGGGUCUUGCUGGCCUGUGGUCGGCUCCUCUCAAAUGGAUCAGCUUGCCAGUGUUUGGUGGCAUCACAGGUGUGAUAACUAUCUGCGCUUGUGGUUUUCCAUCAGAUAACCUUCAGUGAUGGAGGUUCGCUGGAGCUCAUAAACGUCUCCCCUAAGCGGGGACAGCCCUUUGAAUGUUUGAUCUCAAAUCAGGUAGGACUACCCGCUGAACUUAAGCAUAUCAAUAAGCGGAGGA
rnacentral:misc_RNA from 1 species